rnacentral:lncRNA from 1 species
UGUUAGUAAGAGAGGGAAAAGCCUAGUCAUGGGGAAGAAAAGAGUUCCAAUAUAUACUCUAAUUGGUUACCUUGAGGCUUAAAGAAAAGAUACGCACAAGGAAACAUGAAAAAGAAGUGAAAUCAAACUUCACUUGUCCAAAGUACCUAGCCCCACCACUAAGGAACAGUGAAAUCUAGUAGAAACUCCACAGAUAACUGAGUUAGGGUAAAAAUCCUCAUCCAAACUCUGCUAGAUCUUCAAGGAAAGUUCACAGUGCCAAAAAUAGUGCAACUAGACCCUAUUUUUCCUCAUCUGCAAAAUGGGGAAGUUAAAAAUAGAUGACGACACUGAUUCUGUUUCUUAAUCUCACGAGUUUAGUACGAUAUCUAAUCAGACCCUUUGAUCAUCUCAAGUAAUGGUGCAUAAGGUAUUUAAAUUUAUUCAGAACAUUUCUUUCAAAGAAGUGGGAAUAAAACAUUUUCUCAUCUACUAAUCUUUAAAUUUUCCAAGGAGGGCGCUUAAAAAUAGAAAGUGUUCUAGUGCCAAGACUAGGGGCUAAACCUGGACUUUAGUCUUAGUUCUGCCAGUAACUUGUUCUGUGACCAUAACCAAGUCACCUCCAUCCACAGGGACUUAACUUUGUCUACAAAAUUACAGGAUGAGAUCUCACCCACCUGGACUCCUCCAGCUCUGGAUUCAGUGAUGCGGGCCAUUCUGCCGUAACUGGCUGCAGUCCUCACAGUGAUUUGUCCUGGGGUGUCUUGUCUCAGGGUUUGGAAGAUGUGAAUAGCUUCUCUUGUCCAUUUGCUGUGGAGGACAUGAAAAGCACAAAGUAUGGAAACAUCAAUUGUGAAUACUGUGAUUUCAACAAAAUUAGUCUUUGAUAUAGUCUUACUCUCUAACCAUCAAACAUCACAGCUUAUUCUCAGCUCCCCCAACCCAAGCUUUCCCCCACAAGUUCAGGGACUCUCAGAUGAUAUUUGGGGUAAUCCGGUGAGCAGACUGCAUGGACUUGACAAGACACAAGGAAACAGUGGGGUUUGGCAAUCUUCAAGAAAGUCAAGAAAAUCUUUAAAUAGUGGUCACUACAGCAAACACUUAUUUUUUUUUUCUCAUUUAUGCUUAGGGUUGUCAAUGUUUCAUUGGUAAAAUUUAAUCCAGCAAAGUAAUUUAUUUUGAAAUAAAUUAACCUAACAUACAUAUUUUACAUGUUUUGUACAUCAGCUACAUGUUUUGUACAUCAACUACAUGUUUUGUGGGAUGGGUAUCUAUUCAUACCAAGUGUAUUCACACCUAUGAUGCCAAAUUCUUGGAAUAAGUCUUAUUUGGGUCAUCUUAGUCCCUGGAACUUUGCUCUACAUUUUCUCAUCCUAAAAUCCGUGAACAAUCAGUCCCCAGCAUAUCCUAUGUCACAGUAAGCAAUGUGCAGAAGCACAGGACACAAUAUAUUGAAAUCCAUUUCACAGUCAAAGAAGUCAAGGCAAAUGUGGGCUAGGCAACUUUUCAGUACAUAGAAAAUGAGAAAUAAAACUCAGGACCCUCUGAUACCUGCUUGUCAAUGGAAGGUUGUCAAUAAAUCUUUAUGAGUGAAUGCAAAAAGUCAGGACAGUGUUUGAAUUACUGUAUUACACUGUCUCCCAAAGAGUAACACAAAUGCUGAGACCAGGUGGCAAGCACCAUGCUCAGACAACUCCAAGUAUUUUUCUAUGACACUGACAUCAGGUGAACAGUUUUUUGGUUGCUAUUUGCUAUUUUUAAAGCAACUUCC